GAUGAACGCUGGCGGCGUGCCUAAUACAUGCAAGUCGAGCGAACGGACGAGAAGCUUGCUUCUCUGAUGUUAGCGGCGGACGGGUGAGUAACACGUGGAUAACCUACCUAUAAGACUGGGAUAACUUCGGGAAACCGGAGCUAAUACCGGAUAAUAUUUUGAACCGCAUGGUUCAAAAGUGAAAGACGGUCUUGCUGUCACUUAUAGAUGGAUCCGCGCUGCAUUAGCUAGUUGGUAAGGUAACGGCUUACCAAGGCAACGAUGCAUAGCCGACCUCAGAGGGUGAUCGGCCACACUGGAACUGACACACGGUCCAGACUCCUACGGGAGGCAGCAGUAGGGAAUCUUCCGCAAUGGGCGAAAGCCUGACGGAGCAACGCCGCGUGAGUGAUGAAGGUCUUCGGAUCGUAAAACUCUGUUAUUAGGGAAGAACAUAUGUGUAAGUAACUGUGCACAUCUUGACGGUACCUAAUCAGAAAGCCACGGCUAACUACGUG
rnacentral:rRNA from 1 species